GACGAACGCUGGCGGCGUGCUUAACACAUGCAAGUCGAACGGAAAGGCCCUGCUUUUGUGGGGUGCUCGAGUGGCGAACGGGUGAGUAACACGUGAGUAACCUGCCCUUGACUUUGGGAUAACUUCAGGAAACUGGGGCUAAUACCGGCUAGGAGCUCCUGCUGCAUGGUGGGGGUUGGACAGUUUCGUCGGUUGGGGAUGGACUCGCGGCUUAUCAGCUUGUGGGUGGGGUAGUGGCUUACCAAGGCUUUGACGGGUAGCCGGCCUGAGAGGGUGACCGGCCACAUUGGGACUGAGAGACGGCCCAGACUCCUAUGGGAGGCAGCAGUGGGGAAUAUUGCACAAUGGGCGGAAGCCUGAUGCAGCAACGCCGCGUGCGGGAUGACGGCCUUCGGGUUGUAAACCGCUUUCGCCUGUGACGAAGCGUGAGUGACGGUAAUGGGUAAAGAAGCACCGGCUAACUACGUG
rnacentral:rRNA from 1 species